rnacentral:rRNA from 1 species
GACGAACGCUGGCGGCGUGCUUAACACAUGCAAGUCGAACGGAAAGGCCCUGCUUUCGUGGGGUGCCCGAGUGGCGAACGGGUGAGUAACACGUGAGUAACCUGCCCUUGACUUUGGGAUAACUUCAGGAAACUGGGGCUAAUACCGGAUAGGAGCUCCUGCAGCAUGGUGGGGGUUGGAAAGUUUCGGCGGUUGGGGAUGGACGCGCGGCUUAUCAGCUUGUUGGUUGGGUAGUUGCUUACCAAGGCUUUGACGGAUAGCCGGCCUGAGAGCGUGACCGGCGACAAGGGGACUACGGUACGGACCAGACUCGUACGGGGGACAGCAGGGGGGAAUAUUGCACAGUGGUGGGAAGCGUGAUGCGGCAGCGCCGGGUGCGGGAUGACGGCCUUCGGGUUGUAAACCGCUUUCGGCUGAGACGAAGCGGGAGUGACGGUAAUGGGUAAAGAAGCACCGGCUAACUACGUG